UGGGGAUUGGCCAAGUGGUAAGGCUCUGGGUUCUGGUCCCAGGAUCGGGGGUUCGAAUCCCUCAUCCCCAGCCA
rnacentral:tRNA from 1 species